UUUGUAACUUGAUACCAAGAAUUGUUUCAUGGAGAAUUGGGGAGCUUUUUCAUGGCCUUGCUGCCCUGUUUUCAGUUGCAUACUGUGGCAAAGACAGCUGGUAUGCAUCAUGGAGAGUGGGUUGAGAAUGCUGGUUGUUGGAUUGCAGGUUUUCUUAAUAAGUUUGAGGAAGGUUGCCACAUAAUGGUACGUUAUGAGUUAUUUUAUUCUAGCAUUCUAUUCUACCUCUUUCCUCAUCCUGUCUUCUUAUGUUUUGAAUAAGAAACUGCGAUCUUGAGAUGAAUGUUGCAAGCCCUUUGUGGGAAAUGGAGACUAAAACUACCUCAGUCAGUCUUUAGAAGAAGAGAUGGCAUUAUUAGUUGAGUCUUCAGUGGACCGAUUGGGAUAGCCUCUUCAACAAAGGCUGAAGUCAUGGCAGCCUUACCUGGCAUCAGGAUUGCAAGAGACCUGGGUUACUUGAAUCUCACCAUUAAAGGAAAUUUUGCCGAUACUAUUAAUUGGCUAGCUAAUCCUGACGGUGGUCCUUGGGCCUUAGCUCAUUACUUGGCUGAAGCGAGAGACAUUCUUUCCACUUUGAAUGCACAUUUGAGCUGGGUCCUGAGGGAGCUUAAACUCUGUAGCUGACGGUCUAGCAAAGGCUGGUGUUCACAGGGAUUACUUUUUUUGUGAUAGUAUUCUUCCUGUAUUACUCUUUGAGUGCUUAGUCUCGUGUACAUCUCCUCAUGUACCUUUUCUCACAAAAAAAAAACCACCUCAAUCAGUUUCCAGGUUCCAUUUAAAGUUAGUCCCAUGUACAUCUCCUCAUGUGCCUUUUCUCUCUAUUGAAUAAAGUUACUAGUCUUUCAACCCAACAGCCCCAGAAGUUUUACCUGCAUCCCAAUUGCUAUGAAGAAUGAUCUUUUUUCUUAUUUUUGCAACUCUGUCUUUCAACCCAACUGCCCUAGAAGUUUGUCCUACAUCCCAAUUGCUAUGAAGGAUGAGGUUUUUUCUUUUGUCACUCUAGUCUUUCGACCUAACUGCCCUAGAAGUCUGUCCUACAUCCUAAUUGCUAUGAAGGAUGUUGAAUGUGCAUUACUCUAUUGACAAAAACAGAAUAUAUCUGUAAAAUAACCACUAAAGGGGUGAAGGAAGAUAAGAAUAUGGGGAACAGGUUUUGAUAAAAUAGAUUUGAUGUUUUGGGAGGAGGUGGAGAUGUUGGUUCAUAUUCAAUCUUGGCUACCUACCAAAUCCAUGGCAUUGUGAACCAGAGGAGGUUUAACCUAUGACCCCAUUCAAGAUAACAAUUGAGAUUCCGUGAUGUUGUUGAUUGCGCAGCUAUUCGCCUUGGCAUUCCUCUCUAUUACAUCCUUGUAUUUUCACUUUAGUUUUUUACUUCUUGAUCCGUUCACAUGGUGGAAGGGA